CCUACGGGAGGCUGCAGUCGAGAAUCAUUCGCAAUGGGCGCAAGCCUGACGAUGCGACGCCGCGUGUAGGAUGAAGGUCUUCGGAUUGUAAACUACUGUGAUGGGGGAGCAAUGCGGGACGUGUUAACACCACGUACCGUUGAUAGUACCCCAAGAGGAAGCCACGGCUAACUCUGUGCCAGCAGCCGCGGUAAUACAGAGGUGGCAAGCGUUGUUCGGAUUUACUGGGCGUAAAGGGUGCGUAGGCGGUCUUGUGUGUCGGAUGUGAAAUCCCACGGAUCAUCCGUGGAACUGCAUUCGAAACUGCAGGGCUGGAGUGCAGGAGAGGAAGGCGGAAUUCUCGGUGUAGCGGUGAAAUGCGUUGAUAUCGAGAGGAACGCCGGUGACGAAGGUGGCCUUCUGGACUGCAACUGACGCUGAGGCACGAAAGCUAGGGGAGCAAACAGGAUUAGAUACCCCUGUAGUC
rnacentral:rRNA from 1 species